UACGUAGGGUGCAAGCGUUGUCCGGAAUUAUUGGGCGUAAAGAGCUCGUAGGCGGUCUGUCACGUCGGCUGUGAAAACCCGGGGCUCAACCCCGGGCCUGCAGUCGAUACGGGCAGACUAGAGUGCGGUAGGGGAGACUGGAAUUCCUGGUGUAGCGGUGAAAUGCGCAGAUAUCAGGAGGAACACCGGUGGCGAAGGCGGUUCUCUGGGCAUUACCUGACGCUGAGGAGCGAAAGUGUGGGGAGCGAACAGG
rnacentral:rRNA from 1 species